GAGUGAGUACAGCUCUUUUAGAAUUUUUCUAGCAGGAUUUCUGACUUUGCUCUAAAAACCCAA
ensembl:snRNA Gm27811 U7 small nuclear RNA